GAACUGCUGUGCCUGUCAGCUCCUGAGGAGGGGAGGCACGGAGCAGAUCCAAUCUCCAACUCAGAUCAGCAGCCCAAAAGGAUGAAUGAGCUGGGCUGGUGCUGAGCAGCCUCUGAGGGGGCUGGAGGGAUGGUCCUGGGGGAGGCAGAGGGGUUCAGAGCAGAAAUGAUCUGAGCAGGGAGAAACACGUGCCUGGAACCUGGAGGGAAUAAAUGCUGAGCUGGAAGCAGCAGCAAGAGGGAGAAGAGUGGGGAUACAAAAAAGGCUCUGUGGGGUGCAAGGAGCAGGGACUGAGAGGCAAAGUCUGGUCCUGGUUCUGCCACUGCCCUGCUGGGAGCUGAGCCUUGGGCUCCCUCCCCUUCCUAUCCAGGAGAAGAAAUUGCCUUUUGUAGCCAUUCAAGCAUCACCAAAAUGUGUAUCAUUCAAAGGAAACUCCUCCUGCAUCCUUUCUCCCAGCUUUCAGGAAUGUAAAAGAAAGAAUUAAUUCUGGGGUUUUUUUUAGCUGGAAAACCCAGAGCAUUUUGCUGCUCCCAAGGAUUUUAUCAGCCUGGGAAACCAAGCAGUGGCUCAGAUGAGGUGACCACUGGAUAAAGCUUCAUUAGUUGCCCAGAGGCAGCUCCUUGCUGUUGCCUCCUGGAAAUUCAGGAGGAUUUUUCCUCCCCAGCUGCUCCCUGAAGCUGUGCUUUGGUGCACCAGUGUAAAACUGGCAGCUGCCACCUCGGGUGCUCUUUGUACCUGCAGAACGAGUUCCAGCAAUAGCCCAAGCACGUGUUAUGGCAUAUUUGUGUACCACUGUCUUAUACCAGCACUGUUAGGGGGACAAAUUGGGUGAAAAAUGCAGUUUUUAAUCCCCAGCUGGUGCCAUGAUGAAGUUGUCAUUAGCUGUGCUCCAGAGCACUGCAGAGUGAGGGGAAGGUGGAGGGUGGGCUCCCCUGUGCUGAGGGACAAAGCUGAAAACAGAGAUUUGUGAUGAGGACAAGCAGGGGAAAAGGGAGCUGAGGAUACCUCCAGGUGCAGCUCUGGCACAGGGAAAGGUGUGAGGGGAGCAGGGAUACACAGCCAGCUGGGAGGAGAGGGGUGUGUGUCAGUGCCCCUGUUUGCAGCCUGGAGGGACAUUGAUUAUUGGGAUUAUUGAUACGACUGAGAUGAUGAUUGCCACUUUAUCUGUGCUGAGGGCAAGGCUGUGAAGGAUUAAGGCAAUGCACAGAAAAAGUGUGGGAUGAGCAUCUCCCCCAGUGACGCCUUGAGAGGCACCUAGAGCAGAGGCUGGGCAGAGCUACAGGAAUAAAAUAGGGAUUUAUUAAAAGGAUGCACCUUAUGGCUCCAUCCUACAGUUGUUUUCCUUAAAUAUCUUUAACUUCUGCUCUUGUGUUUUGAAAGGUUUUUUGAGGAGCUUUGUCCACAGAGUUCUUGGGCUCUUCUGGAGUUUCUUCCCCCUCAGCACUUGCCUC